ACGUCUCUUGCCUCGCUCAGUCUUUCCGCGUUCAACUACGGGAGACUUCGAGCUGGAUGCAUACAUCAUAUGUAUGAGACAAGAAUAAACAACCCAAUCGACGAUCUUUGAGUACGAAAGCUACGGCACUUGUUUUCAGCGUGGCUCUUCGUAAUUUAUCUGUCGAUAUAG
rnacentral:snoRNA from 1 species